AUGAACGCUGGCGGCGUGCCUAAUACAUGCAAGUCGAGCGAACAGACGAGGAGCUUGCUCCUCUGACGUUAGCGGCGGACGGGUGAGUAACACGUGGAUAACCUACCUAUAAGACUGGGAUAACUUCGGGAAACCGGAGCUAAUACCGGAUAAUAUAUUGAACCGCAUGGUUCAAUAGUGAAUGACGGUUUUGCUGUCACUUAUAGAUGGAUCCGCGCCGCAUUAGCUAGUUGGUAAGGUAACGGCUUACCAAGGCGACGAUGCGUAGCCGACCUGAGAGGGUGAUCGGCCACACGGGAACUGAGACACGGUCCAGACUCCUACGGGAGGCAGCAGUAGGGAAUCGUCCGCAAUGGGCGAAAGCUUGACGGAGCAACGCCGCGUGAGUGAUGAAGGUCUUCGGAUCGUAAAACUCUGUUAUGAGGGAAGAACAAAUGUGUAAGUAACUAUGCACGUCUUGACGGUACCUAAUCAGAAAGCCACGGCUAACUACGUG
rnacentral:rRNA from 1 species